GAUGAAUGCUGGCGGCGUGCCUAAUACAUGCAAGUCGAGCGAACAGACGAGGAGCUUGCUCCUCUGACGUUAGCGGCGGACGGGUGAGUAACACGUGGAUAACCUACCUAUAAGACUGGGAUAACUUCGGGAAACCGGAGCUAAUACCGGAUAAUAUAUUGAACCGCAUGGUUCAAUAGUGAAAGACGGUUUUGCUGUCACUUAUAGAUGGAUCCGCGCCGCAUUAGCUAGUUGGUAAGGUAACGGCUUACCAAGGCAACGAUGCGUAGCCGACCUGAGAGGGUGAUCGGCCACACUGGAACUGAGACACGGUCCAGACUCCUACGGGAGGCAGCAGUAGGGAAUCUUCCGCAAUGGGCGAAAGCCUGACGGAGCAACGCCGCGUGAGUGAUGAAGGUCUUCGGAUCGUAAAACUCUGUUAUUAGGGAAGAACAAAUGUGUAAGUAACUAUGCACGUCUUGACGGUACCUAAUCAGAAAGCCACGGCUAACCACGUG
rnacentral:rRNA from 1 species